GUGCCUGUGACUGCUUGCACAUUUAUUGAAAUUGGAACAAUAAUAAGAAGAUUACCAUGCCCUGGGCAAAGAUGACAUGAAGAUCAAUGAACUGGUCCUUAUUUUU
ensembl:snRNA U6 U6 spliceosomal RNA